ACACUCCUACGGGAGGCAGCAGUGAGGAAUAUUGGACAAUGGGUGGAAGCCUGAUCCAGCCAUCCCGCGUGCAGGAAGACGGCCCUAUGGGUUGUAAACUGCUUUUAUCUGGGGAUAAACCUACUUACGUGUAAGUAGCUGAAGGUACCAGAAGAAUAAGCACCGGCUAACUCCGUGCCAGCAGCCGCGGUAAUACGGAGGGUGCAAGCGUUAUCCGGAUUUAUUGGGUUUAAAGGGUCCGUAGGCGGACUGAUAAGUCAGUGGUGAAAUCCGACAGCUUAACUGUCGAACUGCCAUUGAUACUGUUAGUCUUGAGUAAGGUUGAAGUGGCUGGAAUAAGUAGUGUAGCGGUGAAAUGCAUAGAUAUUACUUAGAACACCAAUUGCGAAGGCAGGUCACUAAGUCUUAACUGACGCUGAUGGACGAAAGCGUGGGGAGCGAACAGGAUUAGAAACCCCUGUAGUCCC
rnacentral:rRNA from 1 species